rnacentral:lncRNA from 1 species
AUGCCACCAUUUCGUGAUCCUUUGAAAAAAGCACAAUAUGACAAGGAUGAUGAAAAGAGAACUCUUCUUCAGUGUGAGACUGGCAAAAUCUAUACAAUGAAAGAAUUUAAAGAGAUCGAGAAGGCCCAAUUGCAUUCCAGGUUCCCGAGUAUUUCUAAUUCAAGGCAAUGUAUGACUCCAAAUGAAUGGCUUAAAGUGUCCAUGAGAUAUAUAGAAAGUGAAUUUUGUAAAAAGAGCAGGGUCAAAGUGAAGACGAAUUUUCGUACCAGUAGUUUAGAUUUGAAUCAAUUGAAAAGGGAGCCUAAUUUUCUGGAAUCCCAGGAGAAAAGACGGUCAGUCACAAGUAAGUCUGUUAUUUAUGAUUUUGUUCUCCUUUUGUUUAAGAUGCUUAGUUGUGUUGCCUUCCCAUCCAUCAUUUCAGAUUGUUUGAGUUAGUGCCAAGGCCUCAACACCAUGUCAGGGUAAGGGAACUUUUCUUUGGUGUUUAUUGUUUAAAGGAACAAAUAGCACAGAAAAAGCAAGUACAAAAAUGGGGCUGAGGGAGAAGGUUUGCAACUGUACUAAAGUUAUGAGAGUUUUAGAUUGAGACUAGUUUGGUAGAUACUGUACUGAGUUAAAAAUAAGGUCUCAUACAUACAAAACUGCAUUCCCAGUACUUGGGACGCUGAAGCAGGAAGAUCUUAAUUUUGGGUACAGCCUGGGCUACAUAGCAAGACCCUGUGUGAGAAAACAGUGUGGGGAUAGAGAUUUCUCCACACAGGUGUAGAAAAAGGCAGCUUCUCAUAAUCUGAUUAAAAAUAAUAUGAUCCUUUUGUAUUUUGUUUUCCUUUAUUUUUUAAAUUGGUUGUUGUCUAGUUUCUUAGAGACAGGGUUUCAUGAUUACAUGUAGCCUAGACUGGUCUUGAACUCUCUAUAUAGCUAACAGUAGUCUUAAAUUCUUUAUCCUUUUGCCUCCACCUUCUGCAUGCUAGGAUUACAGGUGUGGACCACUACCCCUAACAAAAUAACAUAAACUGCUUUGUAGCCAGUUAUACACAAGCCGAACAGUCUAGCUGGUAGGUCAGGGCACUGGGUCUGAAGCAUAAUGACCUGAGGUCUAGUAAUAGCUGUGUGGUCAUGGGACUUGAGGAGUGAGCAAGCUGAUAGAGCGAAUUAGUAUUUGAUAUGAGAAAUGAGUAAAAGCAAGAAACCAAAGACAACUGUGUUGUUGAGGUUUUUGUCCUGAGGGGCCUCGAUGGAUGCUGGUCCUACUCAUGACCACAGAGAGAUGAAGGAAGAAGUGCAGAAAUAAAGAUAAUGUUUUCUGGGGCUAAAUGAAAGAUGCCUUUUACCAUUACAACACACAUUUAUAGGGUAUGGUUUUCAAGUAAGUUAGCCUUUCCUCUAGCUGUUCAUUAAACAUGUUGAGGGUAGGGAUGUAGCCUGGUGCUCUAGGGCUAGAGAUGUAGCCCAAUGGACAGCACUUAUCUAGCAUGUGCAGGAUUCAGUCUCCAGCAGUCUCUUUCUCAAAAAAGGAAACAGAUGAACAAGUAAGGAAGCAGUGAGCACAGUCUGUUCAAGGUAGUUGACCCUAUGUAGUUUCAGAGCUAGGUGCUUCUGAUUACAAAGGCUUCACUUCUGUAGUUAGCAUAACUAAGUGACUGUGUUGCUCUUCCUAGCCUGGAACUUGCUGUAUAGACCAGGCUGGCCUCAAAUUCACAGAUCUCUGUCAGCAUCUGGAGUACUAAGAUUAAAGGAAGAACACACACACACACACACACACACACACACACACACACACACCACUCACACACAUUCUUGAUUCUUUUGUAAACCCUGUAAGACUUACCUUCACGCAUUUAGAACGUAACAUUUACUUCCUAAAAGAUACCAAGACUAAAAUCAAGUGUAUUUUUAGUAAUAUUCAGCUGUAUUUAGCAACAAUUAUCUUUUAACUCAACCCCUAGAGGAGCUGUGAAGUAGGCAGGUGAUUGUUGCCUAGAGGUCAGAGGAGAUACUAUACUGGACAUGCAUAUUUUUGUCAUCUGAUAUUGUGUGAUUUGAAGUCAUAAGAUGAUCUGAGAGGGAGUGACAAGAGGACUGAGGCUGGAUUCUGUGAGAGGCAACAACUCUUGCUAGAGAGGCUCCAAGGGGAUCAGCUCCCAUAGCCAAGGAACUUUCUGGUUCUCUAAGCCCUUUAUCCCUAUGGCACACUCAACUCUUUUCUUUUGUCACUUUCAAAAGGUUUUGACAACAAUAUAUCCUGAUUGCUGAUCUGUGCAAGGACCCACAAAGGAAGACUGCUUUAAAUGAGUUCCCUGCUGGCAGGGAUCCUUCUGAGGGGCCAAGGAAGACAUUGAAGAAUCACUCUCUCUGUGCAAUAAACUUCCUUUAAUUUAGCGUUCAGUGUCUGUGAUGAUUAAGAAAUGACAAUACAAAAACCCCAAACAAGCAAACAGGCAUGGUGGCAUUCCCCCCCAAAGUGUAUUUUCCUCUGAAGUUAAAAUAUUCAUGAAGGGGCCAAUAAAGAGAGCUGUCUUACUGAAUGCCUGUCUCAAUUCAUUUGGUUUGUGACUAAGGUGUUCUUUCUGCCCAGGCACCAUUGAAAUUGAGUUUUAAGGUAGCAACUGUGCUGUUGCAUCCCAUAUUUAUUAUCUGUCUUAUUCUAGGGUAUAGUUAUCUAGGCUCUUAGAAUUUUGCCACCAAUCUACACAUAGUUCCUGGAGAAAACUCAAUUUAAAAAAAAAAAAAAAACUUAAAGCAUUAUGUUGUGGGAAAUUUCAGAAGAGUAUAUACAAAUAGAGAUAAUUGUAAAAGAGACCCUCAUCCAAUUUCAAUAACGAAAACUUCACAUCUAUGCCACACCUACUUUUCAGCCACAACUGAAUGUGGAAACAAUUCCUAGAUAUAUUUUCAACAAUCGCCUUUCCAGGUGGUAGAGAGUGCACUCCUUUUCCUGUCCUUGCAUGGGAACGGCAAUUCCAAACACUUCACAAGUCCUCAGAAAGAGCCUCAAUCACGCUGUGGUGUGUGCCUGUAAUCCUUCCCUCUGGAAGCCAACGUGGGAUGAUUCCAAGUUCCAGGUCAGACUGGGUACAUAGGCUUAAGAUGAAAUAUGAAAUGUUUCAGAUAGUUAUAUUGAAUAUUUUCACAGUAUUUAAUAUUCAUCAUGUGUUUAUUGAUUUGCUAUCACAACACAUUAAACACUACAUUUGUAUUUAUAAUUUUUUAUUUUUCAUAUAAAACUACUAACAUUAUACGUUUCAACCGGGUACUCUUGAAAGACCCUCGGACCGAGGAGUCUCUACAAAUCAGACGAUCCCCUCAAAAAACACUCAAUGUCCAGUCCAGCUGAUGCAAAAACAAGAGGUAAGUUUAUUAUGGGACGUUUGUGCAAACGGGCCUCCCAGUCCGACAGACAAAGGAAAAUGCCUUGUUCCUCUAAAGCAGGCUUUUUUUAAUAGGAGAAAAACCAUAGGCUUUUAGGGGUUUGGGUAUGUGACCAGAGUCACAGAUCCUUUGGAGAUCUCUUAUCUUUGGGGCUGGAUGGUCUCCUGACUCAGUGGGAUAGUCUGUUCUUAUCUUCAUGACCCUAGGGCAGGGUGGCCCUCUAGGAAUUCUUGGUAUUCAGUUAGGUUGUCUUGUGGCCUUGUAAGGGAAUUAUUUCUGCCAGCUAAGAAAUUCCAGGGGCUCGGGUCAUUGUGACCUUGGUUAGGUUUUAAGUCAGGUCUCCCUGUUCUUAGGGUGAGAGGAUUGUUUUUCUUCUAAGUUAUUUCUUUGUUAAUUGUAAAAUAAUUCAUUCCCCCCCCUUUUUUUUUAGGUAACCCAUUCUUGGGUUAUUAGUGGACAAUUUUAUAUAGCAUUUCGACCAAGUAAAUGGACGGUGUCUGUCUCAUACUACUUCCUGCUGACUUUGGGGCGUCGUUAGGGGUCUAAAAAAUGAAAUGUUAGUCAAAAGAAAAGGGGAUUUAGGCAGUGGAGAAGCAAGCUGGUUGUCAAACUGUUGAAGAGUCAGAAGUGUCCGCAGCAGCACGACUGGUUUAUAGUCUGAGCCUGUCUGGGCCUCACGGUCCUUAGGAGCAGGUUGUAGUCAGCAGCUGAUACUUAGCUGCGUUCUUGAGUCCUAAAAAAAACUUACAGAUUCAGGUUAGAAGAAACAUCAGGGACCUCAGUGCUUGGCACAGCGUGGUACUGUUGAGUUAUGAUGAGGGCUUGAGUGAUGGUUAACCUUUCAUGUAUAAACUCUAGGAGCCUAGUGAGGAGACAAGGGCCAAGUGUCAGGAGUAAGAGGAGAAUGAACAGGGGUCCUACCAGGGUGGAAAUUAGGGUAGUCAACCAUGGGGUCCUAUUGAACCAUCCUUCGAACCAUCCUUGUUGAGCCUCGGCCUUUUAGCUAAUCUCUCUCUGAGUUUUGUCAUGGAGUCUCUAAUUACUCCUGAGUGGUUUACAUAGAAGCAGCAUUCCUCUCUGAGGGUAAUGCAGAGUCCUCCUUCUUUUAGAAACAAUAGGUCUCGGUUUUGGAGGGCUACCUCUGCCAGGGAGGCCAGUGAUUCCUCCAGCC